rnacentral:rRNA from 1 species
CCUACGUGCGGCAGCAGUGAGGAAUAUUGGUCAAUGGGCGUAAGCCUGAACCAGCCAAGUCGCGUGAGGGAUGAAGGUUCUAUGGAUCGUAAACCUCUUUUAUAAGGGAAUAAAGUGUGGGACGUGUCCUGUUUUGUAUGUACCUUAUGAAUAAGGAUCGGCUAACUCCGUGCCAGCAGCCGCGGUAAUACGGAGGAUCCGAGCGUUAUCCGGAUUUAUUGGGUUUAAAGGGUGCGUAGGCGGCCUUUUAAGUCAGCGGUGAAAGUCUGUGGCGCAACCAUAGAAUUGCCGUUGAAACUGGGAGUCUUGAGUAUGUUGGAGGCAGGCGGAGUGCGUGGUGUAGCGGUGAAAUGCUUAGAUAGCACGCAGAACCCCGAUUGCGAAGGCAGCGUACCGGCUCCACACUGACGCUGAGGCACGAAAGCGUGGGUAUCGAACAGGAUUAGAUACCCGGGUAGUC